rnacentral:rRNA from 1 species
GACGAACGCUGGCGGCGUGCCUAAUACAUGAAAGUAGAACGCAGUUGCGAACGGGUGAGUAACGCGUAGGUAACUGCCUCAUAGCGGGGGAUAACCAUUGGAAACGAUAGUUAAUACCGCAUACUGUGAGAUGGAACUGCGUUUUAUUAGAUAGUUGGUGAGGUAAAGGCUCACCAAGGCGACGAUACAUCGCCGACCUGAGAGGGUGCUCAGCCACACUGGGACUGCGACACGGCCCAGACUCCUGCUGGAGGCAGCAGUAGGAAAUCUUCAGCAAUCGGCGGAAUUGUGACCGGGCCACGCCGCGUGGGUGCUGAGGGUUUUCGGGUCCUAAAGCUCUCCUGGUAGAGUAUCGGUAACUGACCAGUAAGUGACGGCUAACUACGUGCCAGCCGCCGCGGUAAUAC